CGGGGCGUGGCGCAGUUUGGUAGCGCGCUGGUUUUGGGUACCAGAGGCCGGAAGUUCGAAUCUUCUCGCCCCGACCA
rnacentral:tRNA from 1 species